GACGAACGCUGACGGCGUGCUUAACACAUGCAAGUCGAACGGAAAGGCCCUGCUUUUGUGGGGUGCUCGAGUGGCGAAAGGGUGAGUAACACGUGAGUAACCUGCCCUUGACUUUGGGAUAACUUCAGGAAACUGGGGCUAAUACCGGAUAGGAGCUCCUGCUGCAUGGUGGGGGUUGGAAAGUUUCGGCGGUUGGGGAUGGACUCGCGGCUUAUCAGCUUGUUGGUGGGGUAGUGGCUUACCAAGGCUUUGACGGGUAGCCGGCCUGAGAGGGUGACCGGCCACAUUGGGACUGAGAUACGGCCCAGACUCCUACGGGAGGCAGCAGUGGGGAAUAUUGCACAAUGGGCGGAAGCCUGAUGCAGCAACGCCGCGUGCGGGAUGACGGCCUUCGGGUUGUAAACCGCUUUCGCCUGUGACGAAGCGUGAGUGACGGUAAUGGGUAAAGAAGCACCGGCUAACUACGUG
rnacentral:rRNA from 1 species